UUCAGAUAAGUAGGAAGGUAAAAUAUAUGUGCAGUUUGAUGGGCUAACAGAAGCACCGGCAGCUAGACAGGCAGGCAGAUACACUCGAGGGCUGAACUGUUUUUGAGUAAUGGACGUGAGGGGGAUCUUCAUACCGGAAAUGGUGUAUGCAGCAUAGCUCCUCCACCAAGGAUGCUGGGACUUGGAGGCCCAGUCCAGUUCCUGAGGCCUGGAGCAGGGGAGGAGCUAUAAUGGAGCAGAUGCGUCCAAAGAACCCAAGCCCCCAGCUUCUGAAGCGCCCACCCAGCUCCACCCCUCCCUAUCUUCUUCAUUAUCACCCUCACUCCAAGGGGCCACCGGGGAGAGGGGCGAACACGGGCCCCCUCUCCCCUAGCUAUGCCCCUGGCCUGGAGCAUCUGCUGACACCACAACUUUCCCUGAGGCCCAGGGGGAAGCCCAGAGCAAGAGUAGAUGUGGAACAAAGAAAAUAUAUGAAGGGAAAAAACAGAACAAAAACCCAAAUGAAAGGGGGAAAGAACAGCCAGUCACAAAUUUAAAGAGACCAAUGUCAUUAAGGAAAAGAAGAGAGAAAUGAUCCCAGUAAACAACGGAUCUGCAGGACGGCGAGACGGGAAACCAUGAAGGAGGAAAUACAGACCCUUCCACAUACAGCUGUAGCUGAGCCUAGUUGUCCUCCAUUUUCUUACAAAGACAUUCCCACAUGUUGUGAUACAUGCACUUGAAGAGCCAGGAAUACUGGGCAUGAUCCAGCCAGAGCAAAACUAGUCCA